CCUCGGUGCUGGGCGGAAGGAGCCGGUCCACCCCGCUUCCUGCACAGAGGGAGGCGUCGGGAGCGCAGUGCGGGGCGAGCAGGCCUGCAGCCGCUGACCGCUGCGCGCUGAGCUGCUUGCCUUGACCGUAAAGGAAACAGGAUAUGGUACAGGGCACCGGCUUCCGAGAAGUGAGCAUCAGCCCCUUCGGCCCUGCGGCUUUCUCUUGUAGAGCCGGAAACUUCCACGUGCUUUGCUGCCAACCCUCCCACCGCUGCCUGCCCCCGAGACCCACCACGAGCAUCACGAGUCCCCAUCUGCUCUCACCCUCACUGCACGCUGCUCCCCCCUGUGCAGGAAGAUGUCAAGAGACUCCACUUCAUGAGGGGGAAACUUGACUGCAAGAGCUCACGGGGUUUCCUUCAAGCUGCAUAGCGCACAGGUGCUCCGGUGUUGCGAUGUUGAGACUUCUGAACCGCACGUUGUUUUUGCUUUGACUCUUGUUAGCGCUGAUCAGAAGAGAACCGCUUUGUAACCUUUUCUUGCAGCUUUCCACAGGAAGAGCUUGGCUUUCGGCAUUUCCCCCCACCCCCACUAAAAGGAAACAUACCCCUCUCCCUUGCUCUUGGUGUGUUUAUUAGCACUGAUAACAGAAGGCAGCAAGUGUGUCUUCCCCUGAGCUUCAGGUGCUCCUUUGUAACAGAGCUAAAGUGAGAUUCAGGGGUUGCUCCAGCCUCAACUGGAAAGAUCAGAGAAUUCAAUCUUUAACAAAACAUUUUAUUCUCACAAGUAUUCCUCAGGUGUUUGAAUUAAGUAAUUAAUAAAGCAGUUCACAGUC